UCCAGUCCCCGGGCCGGGCUGUGUCAGUGCUAAAGUGCUGACAGUGCAGGUAGUGAGACUGAAUACCUACUGUACUGGGUGCACUUGGAGCACUGUCCCAGCCAAUCCCUACGCCUGGGUU
rnacentral:precursor_RNA from 17 species